GGCUGGUCAGAAGGUAGGGAGUUAGCUCACUAUUAUUGUUCACAGUCAGUUACAGAUUGAACUCCUUGUUCCACUACUUUCUCCCAUUCUCACUACUUCACUUGACUAGCCUAUA
rnacentral:Y_RNA from 1 species